AUUGAACGCUGGCGGCAGGCCUAACACAUGCAAGUCGAACGGUAACAGGAAGCAGCUUGCUGCUUUGCUGACGAGUGGCGGACGGGUGAGUAAUGUCUGGGAAACUGCCUGAUGGAGGGGGAUAACUACUGGAAACGGUAGCUAAUACCGCAUAACGUCGCAAGACCAAAGAGGGGGACCUUCGGGCCUCUUGCCAUCGGAUGUGCCCAGAUGGGAUUAGCUAGUAGGUGGGGUAACGGCUCACCUAGGCGACGAGCCCUAGCUGGUCUGAGAGGAUGACCAGCCACACUGGAACUGAGACACGAUCCAGACUCCUACGGGAGGCAGCAGUGGGGAAUAUUGCACAAUGGGCGCAAGCCUGAUGCAGCCAUGCCGCGUGUAUGAAGAAGGCCUUCGGGUUGUAAAGUACUUUCAGCGGGGAGGAAGGAAGUAAAGUUAAUACCUUUGCUCAUUGACGUUACCCGCAGAAGAAGCACCGGCUAACUCCGUG
rnacentral:rRNA from 1 species